rnacentral:rRNA from 1 species
ACCAGACUCCUACGGGAGGCAGCAGUGGGGGAUAUUGCACAAUGGGGGGAACCCUGAUGCAGCGACGCCGCGUGGGUGAAGAAGCGCCUCGGCGCGUAAAGCCCUGUCAGCAGGGAAGAAAAUGACGGUACCUGAAGAAGAAGCCCCGGCUAACUACGUGCCAGCAGCCGCGGUAAUACGUAGGGGGCAAGCGUUAUCCGGAUUUACUGGGUGUAAAGGGGGCGCAGACGGCGAUGCAAGCCAGGAGUGAAAGCCCGGGGCCCAACCCCGGGACUGCUCUUGGAACUGCGUGGCUGGAGUGCAGGAGGGGCAGGCGGAAUUCCUAGUGUAGCGGUGAAAUGCGUAGAUAUUAGGAGGAACACCAGUGGCGAAGGCGGCCUGCUGGACAGUAACUGACGUUGAGGCUCGAAAGCGUGGGGAGCAAACAGGAUUAGAUACCCCGGUAA